rnacentral:rRNA from 1 species
GUGGGGAAUAUUGGACAAUGGGCGAAAGCCUGAUCCAGCCAUGCCGCGUGUGUGAAGAAGGUCUUCGGAUUGUAAAGCACUUUAAGUUGGGAGGAAGGGCAGUAAGUUAAUACCUUGCUGUUUUGACGUUACCAACAGAAUAAGCACCGGCUAACUUCGUGCCAGCAGCCGCGGUAAUACGAAGGGUGCAAGCGUUAAUCGGAAUUACUGGGCGUAAAGCGCGCGUAGGUGGUUCAGCAAGUUGAAGGUGAAAUCCCCGGGCUCAACCUGGGAACUGCCUCCAAAACUACUGGGCUAGAGUACGGUAGAGGGUAGUGGAAUUUCCUGUGUAGCGGUGAAAUGCGUAGAUAUAGGAAGGAACACCAGUGGCGAAGGCGACUACCUGGACUGAUACUGACACUGAGGUGCGAAAGCGUGGGGAGCAAACAGGAUUAGAAACCCGAGUAGUCC